GGCUAACGCUGGCGGCGCGCCUAACACAUGCAAGUCGAACGAACGCUUCGGGGUUAGUGGCAGACGGGUGAGUAACGCGUGGAUAAUGUGCCUUUUUGCUGGGGGUACCGUUCCGAAAGGAACGUUAAUCCCGAAUUUGCUCGUCUGGCGGCAUCGCCGAGCGAGUAAACUGUUGGGGUGAAGAGAGCAGUCCGCGUUCUAUAAGCUAGUUGGUGGGGUAACGGCGCACCAAGGCUACGACGGAUAACUGGUCUGCGAGGAUGGUGAGUCGCACUGGAAGUGAGACACGGUCCAGACACCUACGGCAGGCAGCAGUGAGGAAUCCUGCACAAGCGGCGAAUGCCUGAUGCAGCGACGCCGCGUGAAGGACGAAGGCCUGCGGGUUGUAAACCUCUGUCAGUAGGGAAGAAGAAUGACGGUACCUACUGAGGAAGCACCGGCUAACUACGUG
rnacentral:rRNA from 1 species